AACGAACGCUGGCGGCAGGCUUAACACAUGCAAGUCGAACGCCCCGCAAGGGGAGUGGCAGACGGGUGAGUAACGCGUGGGAAUCUACCCAACCCUACGGAACAACUCCGGGAAACUGGAGCUAAUACCGUAUACGCCCUUAGGGGGAAAGAUUUAUCGGGGAUGGAUGAGCCCGCGUUGGAUUAGCUAGUUGGUGGGGUAAAGGCCUACCAAGGCGACGAUCCAUAGCUGGUCUGAGAGGAUGAUCAGCCACAUUGGGACUGAGACACGGCCCAAACUCCUACGGGAGGCAGCAGUGGGGAAUAUUGGACAAUGGGCGCAAGCCUGUUCCAGCCAUGCCGCGUGAGUGAUGAAGGUCUUAGGAUUGUAAAGCUCUUUCACCGGAGAAGAUAAUGACGGUAUCCGGAGAAGAAGCCCCGGCUAACUUCGUGCCAGCCGCCGCGGUAA
rnacentral:rRNA from 1 species